GGUUAAGCUAAUAAGAGCACACGGAGGAUGCCUAGGCGCCAGGAGCCGACGAAGGACGUGGCGAACAACGAAACUGCCUCGGGGAGCUGUAAGCAAGCUUUGAUCCGGGGGUGUCCGAAUGGGGAAACCCAGCUGUGGUAAUUCGCAGUUACUCGUAUCUGAAUACAUAGGAUACGCAGAGGCAGACCAGGGGAACUGAAACAUCUAAGUACCCUGAGGAAGAGAAAACAAUAGUGAUUCCGUCAGUAGCGGCGAGCGAACGCGGAACAGCCUAAACCAGGGGGCUUGCCUCCUGGGGUUGUGGGACGUCUCACAUGGAGUUACAAAGGAAUAUGGUAGGCGAAGAGGUCUGGAAAGGCCCGCGAUAGAGGUAAAAGCCCUGUAGCCUAAACUGUGUUCUCUCCGAGACGGAUCCCGAGUAGUGCGGGGCACGUGAAACCCCGUAUGAAUCCGGCAGGACCAUCUGUCAAGGCUAAAUACUACCUGGCGACCGAUAGUGAAACAGUACCGUGAGGGAAAGGUGAAAAGCACCCCGGAAGGGGAGUGAAAUAGAACCUGAAACCGUGUGCUUACAAAAAGUCAGAGCCCGAUCUAUGGGUGAUGGCGUGCCUUUUGUAGAAUGAACCGGCGAGUUACGUUUAACAUGCAAGGUUAAGGUGAGAAGCCGGAGCCGCAGCGAAAGCGAGUCUGAAUAGGGCGAUUUAGUAUGUGGACGUAGACCCGAAACCGUGUGAUCUACCCCUGUCCAGGGUGAAGGUGCGGUAACACGCACUGGAGGCCCGAACCCACGUACGUUGAAAAGUGCGGGGAUGAGGUGGGGGUAGCGGAGAAAUUCCAAUCGAACUCGGAGAUAGCUGGUUCUCCCCGAAAUAGCUUUAGGGCUAGCCUCGGUGAAUGGAGUGAUGGAGGUAGAGCACUGAUUGGGUGCGGGGCCCGCAAGGGUUACCAAGCUCAGUCAAACUCCGAAUGCCAUUAUCUUCUUGCCGGGAGUCAGACAGUGAGUGCUAAGAUCCAUUGUCAAAAGGGAAACAGCCCAGACCAUCAGCUAAGGUCCCCAAGUGUGUGUUAAGUGGGAAAGGAUGUGGAGUUGCACAGACAACCAGGAUGUUGGCUUAGAAGCAGCCACCAUUUAAAGAGUGCGUAAUAGCUCACUGGUCGAGUGACUCUGCGCCGAAAAUGUAACGGGGCUAAACACACCACCGAAGCUAUGGCUAGAUACGUAUGUAUCUGGGGUAGGGGAGCGUUGUAUGUGGGUUGAAGGUGUACCGUAAGGAGCGCUGGACAGCAUACAAGUGAGAAUGCCGGUAUGAGUAACGAAAAGAUCAGUGAGAAUCUGAUCCGCCGAAAGCCCAAGGUUUCCUGAGGAAGGCUCGUCCGCUCAGGGUAAGUCGGGACCUAAGGCGAGGCCGAUAGGCGUAGUCGAAGGACAACAGUUUGAAAUUACUGUACCACCGUAAUCCGCUAUGAGCGAUGGGGUGACGCAGGAGGGUAGUGACGCGGACUGAUGGAUGUCCGUCUAAGCAGUGAGGCUGGUGUGUAGGCAAAUCCGCACAUCGUAAGGCUGGGCUGUGAUGGGGAGCGAAAAUUGUAGUAGCGAAGGUCAUGAUCUCACACUGCCAAGAAAAGCCUCUAGCCAGGAGAAGGUGCCCGUACCGCAAACCGACACAGGUAGGCGAGAAGAGAAUUCUAAGGCGCGCGGAAGAACUCUCGUUAAGGAACUCGGCAAAAUGACCCCGUAACUUCGGGAGAAGGGGUGCCUCGGUAGGGUGAAUAGCCCGAGGGGGCCGCAGUGAAAAGGCCCAAGCGACUGUUUAGCAAAAACACAGGUCUGUGCGAAGCCGCAAGGCGAAGUAUACGGGCUGACGCCUGCCCGGUGCUGGAAGGUUAAGGGGAGUGGUUAGGGGUAACCCGAAGCUAUGAACCGAAGCCCCAGUAAACGGCGGCCGUAACUAUAACGGUCCUAAGGUAGCGAAAUUCCUUGUCAGGUAAAUUCUGACCCGCACGAAUGGCGUAACGACUUGGGCGCUGUCUCAACGAGAGAUCCGGUGAAAUUUUAAUACCUGUGAAGAUGCAGGUUACCCGCGACAAGACGGAAAGACCCCAUGGAGCUUUACUGCAGCUUGAUAUUGAAUUUGGGUACGAUCUGUACAGGAUAGGUGGGAGCCGUAGAAACAGGAGCGCAAGCUUCUGUGGAGGCGCCGUUGGGAUACCACCCUGAUCGUAUCUAGGUUCUAACCUGGUGCCCUUAACGGGUACGGGGACCGUGUCAGGCGGGCAGUUUGACUGGGGCGGUCGCCUCCUAAAGAGUAACGGAGGCGUUCAAAGGUUCCCUCAGAAUGGUUGGAAAUCAUUCGAAGAGUGCAAAGGCAUAAGGGAGCUUGACUGCGAGACCAACAAGUCGAGCAGGGACGAAAGUCGGACUUAGUGAUCCGGUGGUACCGCAUGGAAGGGCCAUCGCUCAACGGAUAAAAGCUACCCUGGGGAUAACAGGCUUAUCUCCCCCAAGAGUCCACAUCGACGGGGAGGUUUGGCACCUCGAUGUCGGCUCAUCGCAUCCUGGGGCUGAAGUAGGUCCCAAGGGUUGGGCUGUUCGCCCAUUAAAGCGGUACGCGAGCUGGGUUCAGAACGUCGUGAGACAGUUCGGUCCCUAUCUGUCGUGGGCGCAGGAAAUUUGAGAGGAGCUGUCCUUAGUACGAGAGGACCGGGAUGGACGUACCGCUGGUGCACCAGUUGUUCCGCCAGGAGCAUGGCUGGGUAGCUACGUACGGACGGGAUAAGCGCUGAAAGCAUCUAAGCGUGAAGCCCCCCUCAAGAUGAGAUUUCCCAAUUAGUAAGACCCCUUGAAGACGACGAGGUAGAUAGGUUGGAGGUGGAAGUGCAGCAAUGCAUGGAGCUGACCAAUACUAAUCGGUCGAGGGCUUAUCCAA
rfam:Paenibacillus sp. FSL R7-0331, complete genome.